GCCUGGCUGGCUCAGUUGGUAGAGCAUGUAACUCUUGAUUUCGGGGUUGUAAGUUCAAGCCCCAUGCUGGGUG
rnacentral:tRNA from 1 species